AUUGAACGCUGGCGGCAUGCCUUACACAUGCAAGUCGAACGGCAGCAUAGGAGCUUGCUCCUGAUGGCGAGUGGCGAACGGGUGAGUAAUAUAUCGGAACGUGCCCUAGAGUGGGGGAUAACUAGUCGAAAGACUAGCUAAUACCGCAUACGAUCUACGGACGAAAGUGGGGGAUCGCAAGACCUCAUGCCCCUGGAGCGGACGAUAUCUGAUUAGCUAGUUGGUGGGGUAAAAGCUCACCAAGGCGACGAUCAGUAGACGGUCUGAGAGGACAGCCUGCCACACUGGGACUGGAACACGGCCCAGACUCCUACGGGAGGCAGCAGUGGGGAAUUUUGGACAAUGGGGGCAACCCUGAUCCAGCAAUGCCGCGUGAGUGAAGAAGGCCUUCGGGUUGUAAAGCUCUUUUGUCAGGGAAGAAACGGUUCUGGAUAAUACCUGGGACUAACGACGGUACCUGAAGAAUAAGCACCGGCUAACUACGUGCCAGCCGCCGCGGUAA
rnacentral:rRNA from 1 species